AUUGAACGCUGGCGGCAGGCCUAACACAUGCAAGUCGGGCGAGCGGCGGCAGGGUGAGUAAUGUAUGGGGCUCUGCCUGGUGGAGGGGGAUAACUCCUGGACACGGUCGCUACUACCGCAUCCCAUAGGAUGACCACAUAUGGGAUUAGCUAUUAGGUAGGGUAACGGCUUCCCUAGGCGCCGAUCUCUAUCUGGUCUGAGAGGAUGAUCAGCCACACUGUUACUUAGACACGGCCCAGACUCCGUCGGGAGGCAGCCGUGGUGAUUAUUGCACAAUGGGCGCAAGCCUGAUGCAGCCAUGCCGCGUGUAUGAAGAAGUCCUUAGUGUUGUAAAGUACUUUCAGCGGGGAGGCGUUACUCGCAGAAGAAGCACCGGCUAACUCCGUGCCAGCAGCCGCGGUAAUAC
rnacentral:rRNA from 1 species